rnacentral:rRNA from 1 species
AGAGUUUGAUCCUGGCUCAGAACGAACGCUGGCGGCGCGCCUAACACAUGCAAGUCGCACGAGAAACCCUCCGCAAGGGGGGCGGUAAAGUGGCGAACGGGUGAAUACUACGUGAGUAACCUGCCCUUUUGUUGGGAAUAACCCUCUGAAAAGGGGGCUAAUACCGAAUGCGACCCUGAGGUUAAAGCCGAGGGGUGAAAGAUAGCUCCCGCAAGGGGCUGUCGCAGAGGGAUGGGCUCACGUCCCAUCAGCUAGUUGGUAGGGUAACGGCCUACCAAGGCUAUGACGGGUAGCUGGUCUGAGAGGACGAUCAGCCACACUGGAACUGAGACACGGUCCAGACUCCUACGGGAGGCAGCAGUGAGGAAUAUUGCGCAAUGGCCGAAAGGCUGACGCAGCGACGCCGCGUGAAGGAUGAAGUUCGUUAGAAUGUAAACUUCUUUUGUAGGGGAUGAAUGUGCCGUUUCACGGCAUUGACCGUACCCUACGAAUAAGGAUCGGCUAACUACGUGCCAGCAGCCGCGGUAAUACGUAGGAUCCGAGCGUUGUCCGGAUUUACUGGGUGUAAAGGGCGUGUAGGUGGGUCUCUAAGUCGGUGGUGAAAGCCUGCAGCUUAACUGCAGAAUUGCCAUCGAUACUGGAGGUCUUGAGUACGGCAGAGGGAAAUGGAAUUCAUGGUGUAGCGGUGAAAUGUGUAGAUAUCAUGAAGAACACCGGUAGCGAAGGCGGUUUCCUGGUCCGUAACGGACACUGAGGCGCGAAAGCGUGGGGCGCAAACAGGAUUAGAUACCCUGGUAGUCCACGCCUUAAACGAUGAAUACUAGGUGCUGGGCCGUAAGGUUCAGUGCCAAAG